ensembl:lncRNA
CUGUAGAGGGAAAAGGAGACAAAAUCAAAUGUUGUUUGUUUUCUUCAUUUUUUUCUUUUUUUAUUAUUUUACAGCAGAAAGAAUAUAAAGCAUUCAGAAAACAUCUUCCAUAUUUUAAGGGCAUUUCAAAACGUUUUGCAUGGCUUCAGCAGCUGAAAUCUCUUCAUUUUUUAAAUAUUUUUUUUUACAUAUCCAUCGAGUCAGUGACACUUGUACAUGCACAAUUACAAAAACAAAACUAACAAACAAGAAAGAGGGGGAAGAAAAAGUAGGAGAAAGCAAUACACAUUAGGAGAACGGGGAAAAAGGAGUGGUUGAAAUAAUAGGGGAAGGAGAGAAAGAGAGGGUCACAACAGGGAAAGACAGAGAGGAAGACAGUUAUAGAGGAGAGGAAAAUGUAUCUAACACUAGUUCACAUGCAAAGUGUCGAGGACCCACGACUUUGUAUUUAAGCAGGGCCAUUUUUUUUCUUCUUGGUUUGGAAUUGAUGAAAACGUGCAGUUCGGUAAAGGGUGCCAUACAAUUGCUGUUCAUAAACUACUGAAUGUCCAUAAACUACUGAAUGCUUGUCUUGCAAUACUGGCAUUUGCAUAAGAGUACGUCAACUAAAUGUGUCCAAUCAUUUUCUAUCUUCACUAGGUCUAUAGGUCUCCACAAAAUAAUGCUUAUUGCUCUGUGUCCACAAGUGGAAAACGUUGUGAGAUGGUUUCUGCUCUGUGGUCCUGAUGUGCCUACCUUUCAGUAGUUUGGGUGCAUUGACAAAGGUAAAGGAGGAAAGCUAGUCCCUCGGGUCAAUUAGCAGAGUGUAAUGAAGGUAAUCAAAUCCAUAUGAAGUGCCUGUUUCUAUAGCUAACCUGUCAUACCACCCAGAAAAUGGCUAUCAGCCAUUCCUGAAGGGCUUUUUUUCUGAAACAACUGUCCCUUUAACAUCUGGUCAUCUUCAACUGCCUCAAAGUCUCAGGAAGACCCCAAUCAAAUGUCUCAACAUGUUAUCACCCAUAUCUUAACUGAGAUGAAAUGUAUAACUGAGAAUAACUCGAUAGACUAUUUGAAGCUGUGUGUGAUACUAUUACAUAGCAAGUCCUUGUUUUACUGAGAAACAUCAAGUCAGAGGAGGUCAAAGGUUGAAAUGUUACUAUACUCAUUAGCAUAGUCUAUAAAAGAAAGUUAAGCAUUUGCAUUAGACUUCAAGCCAUAGUGUCCCAUAAUGCAAACUCCUUUCUGUCUGAGCUAUAGCCAAGACAGAAAUAAUUGACCGUACUGUCAAUUGUGAUCAACUUGUCUCAAUUAUAAUUAGCUACACUACAAUGUUUUGUAUCCCCUAUUUUUGAUUUAGUGUCCUUACAUCUCUCCUCAGUUCAGCUUACUUAUCUGAGAGGAAAUGGAUAACAGUAAUGUAUCCAGGAUCAUAGUAAUCCUUUGCCUGUCUUGACCAGAAAGUUCUGUUGAGGGGUGUUGCAUCUUCCUAUCCUACUUCAAUACAGUAUGUCCUCUCUCUCUGCAGUGAAUCACCAAUCAGUGUCCUGCUCCACUUCCUCCUCCCCAUUUUGGCACCCUGAGUAAAAGACGGAAGGGAGGUGAGCCGUUCCCUAGGACUAGGAGCAGGCUAGGAAAAUAACACAAUGAUGAGCUCCAUCUGCUGAACUGUGUACAAGUGAGACUGACUGUGCCUUGACAUACCUAUCGGCAUAUCUGGAUAUGUCCAGUGCAGUGUACUGUUGCCUGUGUGUGUGUGUGUGUGUGUGUGUGUAUGGUUGUCUAGUAUAAUACUUGCAGUAUACUGCCAAAAGAGUGUCCGAACUGUUCAGGUAUUUGAAGUUGAGAGCACACCAUCUCUAUAUCCAAAUGAAUGAAAAAUAAAAUGUGUUAAAAAAAAGUUUCAACUUGCUUCUAGAAAAACUUGCCCUCAUGCUACCCCUGGAAAUAUGGUCAGUAAAUACUGCAGAUUGAUCAUAGUUUGUAUUUGAAGGGUUCUCCUCUUCCCUCCAAUCACAUGCCCUCCGUCUUUCAGAGUUCUGUGACACGUCAAACCAACGUUCUUCGUUUUACAGAACAGCAAGUCUUUAAAAGUCUAACUACCGAUUCUAGAAAAAUAAGCAUGCUUUGGGUGCAGUUCAGUCACCCAGUUAACUAUGUUACCCAUGCAAGCAUAAUAAAACCUUCUCAUAUGGCCACAGCAGUGUAUUGGCUGGCAUUCUUACCACUACCAGAAUGACGAAUGCAAGGCAAUAAAACCACAGAAGUUAUGGAAUCUAAUUCUCAUGGUUUCAACAGGCAGUUCCAAUAGAAAAUGAAAACGCUUAGAAUGUUGACAAGAUGGAAUGCGCUCCGUGGGUUAAGGGAACACUGUCACUGGAAUGAUUUUGGUGAUGGUUUUGGAUUGAUAUAUUGUAUGUACUUGAUAUACAGUAGUCCUAAAGAAUUAUGGAUCAGUUGCUAUUGGUAUCUCCAAAGCCAUGUUUUCCUCCUUAGGUACCUUGCAUGCUUCCUGACAUUGGCUUUGUGCGAUCAAUCAGGAUAUGAUUAGGCACUUUCUACAUAAACACUCUGAAAAUAGGUUUACAUAUCAAGUCUCUGUGAAAUAAACACACACAUACAGAGAAAUAAACCCAGAAGUACAUAAAAACAAAAACAUCAGAACAGCCAACAUUGUCUUGAGAUGCUUUUCAGCAUUUAAAACAACAAAAUGUAAUUGUCCAAUGGCAUGUUCUUAUAGGAAUAUAAUAUAUAUCAGCAAAACUGCAAGAACCAGCAGACACUUAUGGUCUAGGAUUGAAUACCAUUGGAUAGUCUCUAUCAUGCAUUCACAGAUACAGUAUAAUCAACUGGUAUCAAUGGGUCUGUUCCCACUUCCCACAUUUCAUUUCAUCAUCUUUCAAACACUGCCCUCACAUACCCCAUUAGGAACCAGACACAUACAUUGUAUUCUUCCUCAGAAGUUGCUAUAAUAGUAGUGGUGCAUCUUGUUACGCUUACAGAUCCCUCCUUUUGGCUCAUUGAAUUAGCUGCAACGAUCCAUAAUGGUUCAUGUGUUUCACCAUAAACCCCAUCCGUUCUUUUUGUUGUUGUUGCACUUUCGAUUGUUUAAAGUGUUGCUUCUGCAGGCAAAUGACUCGUUUACUUUUACAAAGAAUGCCAGCGAUGCUACACAUCAUUCACUGUUGGCCACAUUACAUGUUGACUCUGGUCUGUCCAGACCCUGACAGGCCUUGGUAAAGUUAAGCUUCCAGCCCAAACGUAAAAACAAAUGUCUUGUGUCAGCAGUUUGAUAAGUUGAUAUCGUCUAUUUCAUCACCCGUGAGUUGUCCUAUGAAACACAUGUUCAAUCAAGCUCAACUAUGAACAACAACAGAAAAAACAGGGCUGAGAUUCCCAUAGACACGGUUGCCAUUUACAAUCUUUAUAUGAACACAAUCCAUACGAACAUGCUAAGAGACAUUGACACCACCACCCUUCUCUCAUACGGAUAAAAUAAAGCACACCAUUCUUUUGCAUUUGAAAUGUUACUGACAAAGUGAUCCCUGUGUAUUUGGUGAUGAUGGCAACAAAAACAAAUCUUGGGUUGUUCUGACGUGUGAUAAUGGAUGAGAAACAGGAGACUUAAAAGUUGCUGUAGAAAUAUUUCUCCCUCUGCAAUGUGUACCUCUAUCUGUGAUUCGCUGCCAGUCGUGAUGGGACCUUGUGGUCUUCAAUGCUAGUGUCUAUUUCAUUGUAUGAUUAUCUGUUCUGAUAAGAUUAACUUAAUUCUCUUGUUAAGCAAUAUAGCAUUCACAUUACUUGGCACCAUUGGCAAAAGAUUCUUGGUAGCCCAAAACAAAAAUGUAAACAUAACCAUACAUGUCUUAAGAUCAUUUUGCAGAUUUCUCCUAUCUCUAAAUACAUUAUAUAUAUUUUUUAAAACUUUUUAGUAUUCGCAAUAAUGUCAUGCUUUAGCAAAAUGUUCUUCUCAAGAACAAUCAAAAUAAAAUAAAAUACUCUUAUAGUGAAAUAGUUAGAAUCAUUUUACAGAGCAUAGCCACUACUGCUUUUGUUUAGUGUUUUGUUUUUUAACCUUUGUUCAUGUUUUUCAUGCACAUAGCUCAUUUUUAUCCCAGGUAUUUACACUAUAUACAAUCAAUACAACCAUACUUCUUAGGCAUUCAAACAAAACUAUACAAAUAUUCUGUUUUUGUCUCGUACCUGUUUUUGACCCCUUUUUAAUGAAUAAAAUAAUAUAUUUCUAAAAUACAAUCCCCUUUGGGUAAAUGUUUUUCCCUACGUACCUUCAGCCUUCUUUAUAUACAGAAACCGCUCAAUUGUCAAAAAUAUGGAUUUGUCUAACCCCUAUUUUGGGACUAGCUUAGGGACCCCUCGAAGAAUCUCUAAGAUGUCAAGGCAAUGUAUGUGAUCUUCCCCUCAAAAGCCCUCACAGGCCCUGAAGUUCAUUUAAAAAGAACGACAAUAACCUUCAUGACUGUAAUCAUUACAACACAAAAGAGGCAAGUUUUCUUUCUUUUUAGAAUACCGAGGAAACAAAUAAGGCAAAUGAAAAAGAAAACAAGAGGACAAUGUUGGUGUCAUUCAGUAACUAGAGGGUAUGAAUGUCAUUCAGUAACUAGAGGGUAUGAAUGUCAUUCAGUAACUAGAGGGUAUGAAUGUCAUUCAGUAACUAGAGGGUAUGAAUGUCAUUCAGUAACUAGAGGGUAUGAAUGUCAUUCAGUAACUAGAGGGUAUGAAUGUCAUUCAGUAACUAGAGGGUAUGAACGACAUUCAGUAACUAGAGGGUAUGAAUGUCAUUCAGUAACUAGAGGGUAUGAAUGUCAUUCAGUAACUAGAGGGUAUGAAUGACUCUUGGGGAAGUAGGUGGGUACAUGGGAGACUGUUGCAUUUUAACAUGAAGACAAACGCAAAACAUUGAAAAACAGAGGUUACAGACCUAAUUCCAAGCACGCAGGCGAAGACCUUCACCCAUAGGCAUGCACAUUUGAUAAAAUCGACAACACAUCAUUUUUUAGGAGACAAGUCAGUUAUCCCGGUAAUGGGUAAGCACGGAACAGAUUCAAGCAAAGAGGAAUUAAACAUAUAUAUUAAAAAAAACACACACACCAUUGAAUCCCUUUAUCUCUUGCCUCACAGUGCCCCCUAAACGUAGAUAACAAAAUAAGCCAUUAUUUUAAUAAGCCCCGCCCAUUCCUUCUCACACCCCUCCUACAUUCAGAUGCAGCCCCACCCCUUCGGACUGACUGGCGGAGUAGAGCACAGCGUAACAGAAGGACGCUUGAUCUAUUUCCAGUUACGAUACUGAAUGUAUUCACCGACUGUUGAUAGGGAGAGUACGUUUGCAAAUGGAUCAAUUAUAUUACCGAGAAUGUUUGGUUCAUUAGAUGACAUGUUUUCUCCUUCAAAUGGAUGAAUCAGUUCACUUUUUUAAAAAAAUGAUGAAAUACAAUUAGAGCCAAGUCCCAAUGUGUUUCUGUAAUGUUUCCUUAUGUUCUGGUUGGCGUCUGUCCUCCAUCCUCGCUGUCCUCCAUCUUAUCCUUUUGGUUUGAUCCACUGGUGGCAGGGACCUUUUCCACAUGUCCAACAUUCCUCUUCCUUUACCAUCUAAAAACCUAGACUCCGAUACUCCCAAAAAGACAAAGCAAUCCAUGAAAAAGUGCAAAAAAUGUCAUGAAGCUAAUGUUCUGCCCCCCACAGCUUCUUCUCCUUUAGUUUAGAAUUCUACAGAAGAAGUUGCCACUCUCCAACAUACACAACGAUAGAUAAACGUGAAAAAUGCUGUUGUUGUUGUACAUGUAAUCGAAGUGGAAUCAGUCACGCUGUCAUAGUUGUAAUAAUAAUCCCAGUGUUUUCACUGAACUGUUUAUUUUCUUCUCUUGUAAAAUGUCUUGGGUACAAAGGGGGGAAAGAAAAGGAGGAGAGUGAUGUCACAUUGUGAGGGGGCUCUUCUGAGGGUUCUCAUGUUCCUUGGCCCUUUUCGAUUCGUUCACUCUGAAACACAGACGGAGAGACAGAUGUAAUUUAAACAGGGGUCUAUGAUCACCGUCACAGAUCAGCUCUCACUGGAUGGUGAUGUUCUCCAAUGUCUC